ensembl:lncRNA
CUGAUAAUGUUUCCCCCCCACAGCAUAGCUACUGUAUAUUCCUAACGUUAACAAUCCGGUUUUGUUCAUGUUUUCUUGCAGAUAACCGGUUAUUCUCUAGCCAAGGUAUCUUCACCCAAGAGACCAACUGUUGGUCAAUCGUUUAGGUUUUAAAGGUAAAUGCAUUGUUAGUCACAAUGUCUAGUUACUGGGCCAAAAGGAAAAUAAUAUUGAAAAGAGUUGCGAGGGACAAACAGGACAUUCACUUGAAUCACUACAUGCUACAGAAGUUUCAUCGAUUACAGAAAACCAGGAAAAUGUUGAGCCAUCUGUAGACUUCAGAGCUGAACCAGGUUUCUCCCCAGUAAUCCAGACUCCAUUUCACAGAACCAAGAGUUUGAGUACAACUAAGUGAUGUUAUUUGUGACAUUUUUUGUCUUGGAAACUGUUGCUUCUAUUUAAGAUUAGGAAUCCUUUUAUCCAUAAUCUGUUUUUCAUUAGGGCACUUGACUUUCUGGAUAAAAGGUGUCGAGUACUAAGCUUUACACCACCAGCAGCAAAUUUACCCUGGCAGCAUAUGGGUGAAAACGCUGGAGGUAUUUUUUUUAUGUAGAUUUCCAGUGACUCCAAAAUGAAAACCAAGCUCUGAGGGAGGAGAACCAAGCCCUGAGGGAAUGCAAUGCACAAGCAGCUUCGGAUGACAGCGGCUCACUUCAAGAGCAGGUGAAGCAAGUAGGGACAAUGUUGAAGACGUUUGCUCUCACUGGGCAAUCAGGUGCGUUACCUGAAAGGAGCAUCUGACCGUGAAGGCAGAAAAAGCCGCACAGCUGAGAAGGACCCACUGCCGACCCCUUAAACCUAGGCUGACUACUGACACCCCAGCAUCACUGAACUGGAACACUUUCUUUAUCCAGCAGUCAGUAACAUCAAGAAGCCAGAAGUGCCAGACUACACUCACCAAAUCCACCCUCUUUUUUUUUGUAUUUUAACUUUAGUAUUGGCUUAUUUCAUUCCGUCUUAACGAUUCUAUUAUAGUUUGUAAAUCCUAUUUCAUACCUGUUACUUGAUAUUGCACAUUAACUAGUACCAAAAUUCUACUUUCAUUUCAUCAGUGUGCUUAACUGUUAUUCUAUUAAUAAUAGCUUGGAAAUACUAUUUUGUACCUCUGAUACUUGAUAUUGCACAUUACCUGGUACCAAAUAUUCUACUUACUCUGUUUUUAACAUCAGCAUUUUUCAUUCCAUCACAUUGCUUAACUGUUAUUCUUUUGUUAAAUAUAGCUUGUAAAUCCUUUUGCCACAGGUCAGCAUUGCAGUUAUAAUGGUCUGUUCUACUACUGUUUUUUAUUUUUAUAUAAAUAUAUAUGUCAAGUUUUGUUUAUCACAGAUACAAGAGACACAGAUCUUAUUGCAGCACGGUGUAAAUCUUGUGCUCCAGGUCAGCAAUGCCAUUAUAACGGUCUAUUCUACUCUAGAGCUUUACUCUAAAUUAUUACCACUUUUCCUAUUGUUAGAAAUGGCUUGAAAAUGUGAUGUUAUACCUCGAUUUAUUUGGUAUCCUGCACAUUCUUUGGUACCAAAUAUCCUCAUUACUUAUGUUUACUGGUAAUUAUUUUCAUCCCAGAGCUGACUUCUUUAUAUUAUUAACAAUUAUUGUGUUUGUGUAAUAAUUAGUUUCUUUUUUUACCAACAUUUAAUUGGAAACCUGCAUGUUCUGUAGUGUGUGUUUAUAUGUAUAUUUUUUCCUGC